UCGAUGAAUGUGCCAAACAUACAGACAAUUGUGAACAUUUAUGUGAAAACAUUCCUGGCAAAUUUAACUGCUACUGUCGCUAUGGUUACAGACUGAAAGCUGACAGAGCCAGUUGUGUCCUGGAAAAAGAUGUAUGUGCUUCAAUUAGGGAUGUCUUAAACUGCACCCAGUACUGCACAGUCAACUGGACCACCAAUGUACCAUCAUGUUUCUGUAGAAGUGGAUUUGAUCUGGUUGGAAAGGAACAGUGUAUAGAUCAAGAUGAAUGUAAAUAUGACUACUUAAACCUGUGCUCCUACAAAGCUGGUUGUGUGAACACACCUGGAGGCUACAACUGUACUUGCCCAGCUGGUCAAAUGUUAGAUAAUGAUAAACGCUCUU
rnacentral:sRNA from 1 species